rnacentral:rRNA from 1 species
AUGGCUGUCACACGAACCAUUUUUCUCGCCAUGGCUGUGAUGGCCAUCCUGAGCACCGCAUCAGCGGCGAUCUACAACGUUGGCGAGCCCGGUGGAGCGUGGGACCUCAGCACCAACUACGGCACAUGGGCGUCCUCCAGGAACUUCAAAGCCGACGACCAGAUCGUCUUCAAGUACUCCCCUCAAGCGCAUGAUGUCCUCGAGGUCAGCAAGGCCGACUACGACUCCUGCAGCACCGCCAGCCCCAUCACCACCCUCAACUCUGGGAAUGAUGUCGUCACCCUCACCGCCUCCGGCACCCGGUACUUCAUUUGUGGCUUCCCUGGCCACUGCGCGGGUGGCAUGAAGGUCAAGAUCGAUGUCAUGUCUGGCUCCUCCUCGUCACCCGCCCCAGCCAGCGGACCAAGUGCAAGCAAUGCUCCCCCGCCGACCCCUGUCUCCACUGCCACCAAUGUGGAGGCCAUCGGGUAUGGCCUCGCCGUUUUGCUUGCCGUUGCUGGCCUCAUGGCUUGA